AAAUAGAAAGCAAAUUGCAAUCAGUUUCGACCUGACACCUGGUGUUUCAACAUCUCUAUUUA
rnacentral:tRNA from 1 species